UUGCUUUGAAAUGGGGGGUGGGGGCGGGUGGGGGCUCUGGUUGGUGGUUCCUGAGAAAUUGAAUGACAGGAGAACUGGCAGCACACGAGGCUUUCUUCUUGGGGCGGUCCUGUCCUCAGGGCCUUGGGCACAGUCCCUGCCUCACUGUUCAGUCUUGUGAAAUGUGGAUGGGGGAUGGGGUUAGUCCCUUCCUCUUAAGGUGAUUAAUGAGCCAAAUGUUUGCAAGAUGUCUGGAGACGCUUGCUGGAAAUUUUAAAACUAAUUCUUCCAAAACCAUUUUCCCAAACCCAGUUUUAUCGAAUUCCUGAGCCCCAAACCAAAUAUAACUCUAAAAUGAUGUUUCAAAGGAGCAAGGUCACAGUGACACCACCUGCCAUAAACCUUGUCGUGAACAUUGGAAGAACCUUGCCCAGCUGAGCCCAGGGAAGUUGUGUCUUAGCCUAACCGUUUCAUUCCGUUUCUCUGACUUUGCAAUUACCAGAAGUAUGAACUUCGUUUGGAACGACAUUUGUCCAAGGUUAUGAUAACAAACAACUGUCUCUCCAGUGAUGCAUUUGUUCCGUGCACCCAGCUCAAGGCCCUUCUCCUGCUUUUCUCUCAAGUCUCACUCGUCCUCCAUCAUCUGGGCCAGAAAGUUCCUGCUUCAGAGCUGAAGGUGGCCGUGUGGUUUUCACCUCAAAUCUUCAGCAAGAGCUAGAGAGAAAAAGAGUCUGAACAAUCAGUCACAUUUCCUGUGGAGUCCCAGUAAUAUCCCUGACUUACGCACACACAGGAGAUGAAGCACAUUACCGACCUGUAUGAAAGUGUCAACAGUACAAUGAGCAAUAAAUCAGACUGUCCUCCUGUGGUUUUGCCAGAGGAGGUAUUUUUCACAAUAUCUGUCAUUGGGGUUUUGGAGAAUCUGAUCGUCCUUCUGGCUGUGAUCAAGAACAAGAAUCUUCAGUCACCCAUGUACUUUUUCAUCUGCAGCCUGGCCAUUUCUGACAUGCUGGGCAGCCUGUACAAGAUCCUGGAAAACAUCCUGAUCAUUUUCAGAAACAUGGGUUACCUGGAGCCUCGAGGCGGUUUUGAAAGCACAGCCGACGACGUAGUGGACUCCCUGUUCAUCCUCUCCCUGCUCGGCUCCAUCUGCAGCCUGAGCGCCAUCGCCGCAGACCGCUACAUCACCAUCUUCCAUGCCCUGCAGUACCAGCGCCUUGUCACCCCACGCCGCGCUGCUGUGGUCCUGUUGAUCAUCUGGGCAUGCUGCAUAGGCAGUGGCAUCACCAUCGUGACCUUCUCCCACCAUGUCCCCGCAGUGAUCGCCUUCACAGCACUGUUCCCGCUGAUGCUGGUGUUCAUCCUAUGCCUCUAUGGGCACAUGUUCCUGCUGGCCCGCUCCCACGCCAGGAGGGUCUCCACCCUCCCCCGGGCCAACAUGAAAGGGGCCAUCACACUGACUGUCCUGCUUGGGGUCUUCAUCUUCUGUUGGGCCCCCUUUGUCCUGCACAUCCUCUUGAUGACAUUCUGCCCAGCUGACCCCUACUGCGCCUGCUACCUGGCCCUCUUCCAGGUGAACGCUGUAUUGAUCAUGUGUAAUGCUAUCAUCGACCCCUUCAUAUAUGCCUUCCGGAGCCCAGAGCUCAGGGAUGCAUUCAAAAAGAUGAUCAUCUGCAAGAGGUACCCAUAGAAUGAUCAGUCCCUGAUUUUAGGAGCCUCAGGGACAAUGUUGUCAAGUGACAAAAUAAUGCUAUACAGCAGCAAAUGUUAAGGCUCCAGUGUCCUUUCCCCCCCAAGAUGGGCACAAGGUGAAUCCCACUGACUGGUAUAAUAGUUUGGGUUUAUGGGCACAGCUUUGCUGUAGGUACAACUUUUAUAGCUAGAAAGAUAACAUAAUUACUGAAAAGCAGCAGAAUCCAAAGCACAUACAGCAAUACACAUGAGAGAGCACCAGGCCAAGGGAAAACUUGUUUCUCUGUAGACAUCUAGCAAGCCUAUCCCAGAGUGGCCUCUCUGCAGAGCUGGACCAUGUGCUCAGGGCACAAACUGUGUUCAGGGUCCUUAUCAGCCAAAGGGCCAGGAAACUGCAGCAGCUGAAUCUGCCUGCCCUACAUCCCUACCAGCCAGCCCACCUCCUGCUUUACACCAUCAAAAAUCUUUUUGGAAGUGGGCAGGAUAUACAUUAUAAAUGUCAAACAACCAGCUUGGAGUUUCCAAUAAGACAGGAAGGUCCUCUGAUAGUUUUCUUUGCAAACUCAGUAUCCACUGGCCUGAAAAUCCUUUUCUGGUUAAAACUACUCAUGCUUUAGGGGUAUAUAUUUCUGAGGAGGAAACAAAAGCUUAGCCCACUUGAUUCCUCUGUGGGAAUAAAGGCCAGAAGAAAACUAUUUGAAGAAGGUAUAACCAAUCUUUGGGUAUCAAACAUAGACAUAAUGCAAACAGGCCCCAAUAUGGAUUUUGUGGACUGAGUGUGUAUUGGUCUGUGUGAGUGUGUGUGUUUGUGUGUCCACCAUACAUUUGGACUCUGGGGGAAACCAAGGCCAAAACAAGACUUCGGGACAGUGCUGUUACUGAGACCCAUGAGACCGAUGAACAACAUUUAACCUCCUUCCAGAUGAGUCUGAGAAGCAGAUCCAAUCACUGGAAAAUGUCAUCCUUCCAUCAGCCACAUGCUGAAAAGUGGCAUGCCCAACAGGAUAAAAGAAGCAAGCAUUUUAAGUUCAUCCAAUUUUAAUAGCUAAAGAAAAACUUCAGAGUUCCCAUCAUUCCCCUAGUGCCAUUAACAAAUCCGACUAGGAACCAUGAGGGUACGGGUUCGAUACCUGGCCUUGCUCAGUGGGUUAAGGGUCUGGCGUUGCCGUGAGCUGUGGUGUAGGUUGCAGAAUGCAGCUCCGAUCCUGUGUAGCUGUGGCUGUGGUGUAGGCUGGGGGCUACCGCUCCAAUUCGGCCCCUAGCCUGGGAACCUCCAUAUGCCACGGGUGUGGCCCC
rnacentral:lncRNA from 1 species